rnacentral:rRNA from 1 species
GGGAGUGCGGCAGCUACACAUGCAGUCGAGCGGUAGCACAGAGAGCUUGCUCUCGGGUGACGAGCGGCGGACGGGUGAGUAAUGUCUGGGAAACUGCCUGAUGGAGGGGGAUAACUACUGGAAACGGUAGCUAAUACCGCAUAACGUCGCAAGACCAAAGUGGGGGACCUUCGGGCCUCAUGCCAUCAGAUGUGCCCAGAUGGGAUUAGCUGGUAGGUGGGGUAACGGCUCACCUAGGCGACGAUCCCUAGCUGGUCUGAGAGGAUGACCAGCCACACUGGAACUGAGACACGGUCCAGACUCCUACGGGAGGCAGCAGUGGGGAAUAUUGCACAAUGGGCGCAAGCCUGAUGCAGCCAUGCCGCGUGUGUGAAGAAGGCCUUCGGGUUGUAAAGCACUUUCAGCGGGGAGGAAGGCGGUGAGGUUAAUAACCUCAUCGAUUGACGUUACCCGCAGAAGAAGCACCGGCUAACUCCGUGCCAGCAGCCGCGGUAAUACGGAGGGUGCAAGCGUUAAUCGGAAUUACUGGGCGUAAAGCGCACGCAGGCGGUCUGUCAAGUCGGAUGUGAAAUCCCCGGGCUCAACCUGGGAACUGCAUUCGAAACUGGCAGGCUAGAGUCUUGUAGAGGGGGGUAGAAUUCCAGGUGUAGCGGUGAAAUGCGUAGAGAUCUGGAGGAAUACCGGUGGCGAAGGCGGCCCCCUGGACAAAGACUGACGCUCAGGUGCGAAAGCGUGGGGAGCAAACAGGAUUAGAUACCCUGGUAGUCCACGCUGUAAACGAUGUCGAUUUGGAGGUUGUGCCCUUGAGGCGUGGCUUCCGGAGCUAACGCGUUAAAUCGACCGCCUGGGGAGUACGGCCGCAAGGUUAAAACUCAAAUGAAUUGACGGGGGCCCGCACAAGCGGUGGAGCAUGUGGUUUAAUUCGAUGCAACGCGAAGAACCUUACCUGGUCUUGACAUCCACAGAACUUUCCAGAGAUGGAUUGGUGCCUUCGGGAACUGUGAGACAGGUGCUGCAUGGCUGUCGUCAGCUCGUGUUGUGAAAUGUUGGGUUAAGUCCCGCAACGAGCGCAACCCUUAUCCUUUGUUGCCAGCGGUUAGGCCGGGAACUCAAAGGAGACUGCCAGUGAUAAACUGGAGGAAGGUGGGGAUGACGUCAAGUCAUCAUGGCCCUUACGACCAGGGCUACACACGUGCUACAAUGGCAUAUACAAAGAGAAGCGACCUCGCGAGAGCAAGCGGACCUCAUAAAGUAUGUCGUAGUCCGGAUUGGAGUCUGCAACUCGACUCCAUGAAGUCGGAAUCGCUAGUAAUCGUAGAUCAGAAUGCUACGGUGAAUACGUUCCCGGGCCUUGUACACACCGCCCGUCACACCAUGGGAGUGGGUUGCAAAAGAAGUAGGUAGCUUAACCUUCGGGAGGGCGCUUACCACUUUGUAUCAUGCCU